CCGGGUGUGGCGAAAUUGGCAGACGCACUAGACUUAGGAUCUAACGCCCUUGGCGUGCAGGUUCAACUCCUGUCACCCGGACCA
rnacentral:tRNA from 1 species